UGCUGAGCGCAAUGUCUGGCGCUGGUGACAGGCGCGGCUCCGCUUUACUGGCCUGACCUUCACUGGGUAUGGUUCUCACGGGUGUUUCCCACAAGGAGGACAGUGGAAGGCAGUGCACGCUUGCUGCUGAUGCUAACUGCACCCGGGGAAGCACCAUGUCUCCAGUGCCAUGCAGUUACAUGGGGAUCUGAGUCAUGAAGCACAGCCAUGGUCGUGGGCCCCAGUCCCGUGCAGAACGUGAAUGUUCAUGGGCAGCACAAAUCUCACGUCUGUACCGUAACACUGAUUUAGAUGGUACGAUUUACGAUUGUCUUCUCACAUCUGAGUGACAUCUAAGAGCAUCAUCGUAAGUCUGGCUUUAUUUUUGUCGGUGACCUGAAUGCUCAUCACCAGGAGUGGCUGAACUCUGUUAGUGCAACUGAUCGUCAUGGUGUUGCAGCACUGGACUUCACUAAUGCAUCAGGUUGUGUGCAACUUAUCAAUGAACCAAUACAUCCACUUAGAAAUCGUCUGUGGAAAUCGUGUGAUUGACUCAGCAGUUAGACCACCUCUAGGUAGCUCUGACCAUUCAGUAGUCACUUUUAGCUUGAAACUAAAUUUUAAUGAACCAAACAUCCAUAUUGCUCGCAAGGUCUACAUAAAGUCACGGGUCGACUGGCCUGGUGUCAUUCACGACUUUGAUACUGUUUGGUGGAGCAACAUAUUACAUUUUUUCGAAUGCUACUGACUUAUCAGCAUUAUUGACCGUCGAGUUGCUACUAAAACCAACAGGAGUACACUCAAAGACAAGGCGUGGUUUAAUGAUGAAUGUAUGAAUGUAUACCAUGAUAAAUAAAAUGCCUAUCAGCUCUGGUCUCGUAACACAUCCCAACUAUUAUGGGAAAACUACGUGAGGCUUAGACAACAUGAUCAUCCAGUUUAUGAUACUGCACGUUCUCAGUAUAAUAACCACAUCCGUGAAGCCCUGUCAGGGGCAUCUCAAUCUCACAAAUGGUGGUCCUCUCUCAAAACUUUCCUUUUUGGAGUGGAUUCUUCGCUGCCUCCUAUCCGGAUGGACGAUGGAACGGUUACUUAUGAUCCAUCCGUUAAGGCUGAAGUUUUCAUCGGUAUUUCAGAAGAAACAGAGUGACCAGGAACUCAAUCUUCCCUCCACAUGUUUUUUCCACGUCCAGAGUUUACACAUUUUGCUUUUUAAUCACUUCACUCCAGAUGCUUAAGUUCUCUGUACCCAUAGGUAAGUAAGGAUAGGUAGGAACAGACUCUAUUAAAUAUCACGGAAGUUGUCCUUUAUUCAUUUAGUACAGAACACUUCGCUGCUGUUCGUCUGAAGAAUAUCGCCAACUAACACAACAGCAGGCACCAUCCUGAUCACGUGGUGCUGAUGCAAAUGCUGAUGUUAUGUCUACGUCAGAUGUAUAUUAGCCGGCGAGACCUCUCAAAACAGAGGAGUGGGGGAGAGCGGUGUGCUUCGAGGUGGAGCAAGCUCGCUGCUAGUCCCUGCAUCAAGCGAGCCCUAGCGAGCGGUGGAGGGCACAUCGAGACCGUGUGUUAACUAGGGACUGAACCCCAGCAAAACACACUUCAUGAGUGUCAGUAGAUCCAGAACAUUUCAUCCUCCUCAUCCACCACUGUCAUUAUGUGGGACUUCUUUGGAGGCACCUAGCUCCCUUGAACUAUUGGGAGUAGUCACUGAUGAUAAGCUCACCUCAGAGAAACAUUUGUGAUCUGUUGUGGCAUCCAUUGCACAAACAACUGGACUCAUCCAAUUGCUGUUGCCAUCGACCAUGUGGUCCUCCGUGCCUCCAUCGCGGCUGCUUCCCUGCGAGUGCGCUAGAAAGAGCUCAUCUUGCCUUCCGACCCGCACUGGACGAGGCUGAGGAAGGAGUGUUGUGAAAGGCGUCCCUCUCACUCAGACACACGGGGCGAGGCAGCGAUGCUCCAGGUGUUUGUGACUAACACUGUGGACCAUACAUAUUCUGAAACACUUCCACGUCGCGCCUACACUGCUUUCAAAAGCUUCUAGUUGAAAUGACACGGGUUUUCAAGGAUGUUUUUACGAUCCCGGUGAGAGAUUAACAAAAUUUCUAUAUUAUGAACAGGAGAAACAGUCAUGAAAACCUGGCCAGUCAUCUCUGUAGCCUUUGAAAAUACUUGUGGUGUGAGAGCAAAGCGUUUCAGAAUACGGGUCUUAAUGACACUACCUGGCUAGCUACUUUUAACUUUACUGUAAUUGGUUUUAGCUUUCUUCGUUAA